rnacentral:tRNA from 1 species
GGGCACUUAGCUCAGUUGGUAGAGCAUCUCGUUUACACCGAGGGGGUCGUAGGUUCGAGUCCUACAGUGCCCA